rnacentral:rRNA from 1 species
GACGAACGCUGGCGGCGUGCUUAACACAUGCCAGUCGAGCGGAAAGGCCCUUCGGGGUACUCGAGCGGCGAACGGGUGAGUAACACGUGAGUAACCUGCCCCAGACUUUGGGAUAACCCUCGGAAACGGGGGCUAAUACCGGAUACGACACAGCUUCGCAUGGGGUCUGUGUGGAAAGUUUUUCGGUUUGGGAUGGGCUCGCGGCCUAUCAGCUUGUUGGUGGGGUGAUGGCCUACCAAGUCGACGACGGGUAGCCGGCCUGAGAGGGCGACCGGCCACACUGGGACUGAGACACGGCCCAGACUCCUACGGGAGGCAGCAGUGGGGAAUAUUGCACAAUGGGCGGAAGCCUGAUGCAGCGACGCCGCGUGAGGGAUGACGGCCUUCGGGUUGUAAACCUCUUUCAGCAGGGACGAAGCGUAAGUGACGGUACCUGCAGAAGAAGCGCCGGCCAACUACGUG